rnacentral:rRNA from 1 species
UACGGAGGGUGCAAGCGUUAUCCGGAUUCACUGGGUUUAAAGGGUGCGUAGGUGGGUUGGUAAGUCAGUGGUGAAAUCUCCGUGCUUAACAUGGAAACUGCCAUUGAUACUACUGAUCUUGAAUUUUCUGGAGGUAAGCGGAAUAUGUCAUGUAGCGGUGAAAUGCUUAGAUAUGACUAGAACACCAAUUGCGAAAGGCAGCUUACUACAGGGAUAUUGACACUGAGGCACGAAAGCGUGGGGAUCAAACAGG